AGACGGAGGGUGCAAGCGUUGUUCGGAAUCACUGGGCGUAAAGCGCGUGUAGGCGGUUCGAUUAGUCGAGUGUGAAAGCCCGAGGCUCAACUUCGGAAGCGCAUUCGAAACUGUCGGGCUUGAGUACGGGAGAGGGAAGUGGAAUUCCUGGUGUAGAGGUGAAAUUCGUAGAUAUCAGGAGGAACACCGGUGGCGAAGGCGGCUUCCUGGACCGAUACUGACGCUGAGACGCGAAAGCGUGGGGAGC
rnacentral:rRNA from 1 species